CCCAGGAGAACAUGGGCUCCGCCAGCUCACCCCCUCCACAGCCUUUCCUUCAGAAGCCUCACUGUGGACACAGACUGCAACAGGCACAGUGUCAGAACUGCCAGGUAUGAGGAGCCACGCAGUCCUCUGGGCAGCAGAAACCCGAGGCUCCGUGAGAGAAGUGACCCAGGAGAGCCAGCCUUCCACACGCGUACUGGAGCCACUGGCUCCUUUUGGCCACAGAUUACAGGAUCCAGAGGUUCCAUGAGUGGCCAUCCCUGAUCACCCUCAGUUCCCAACUGACCCGGACCACGGCCUCCCAAUCCCUGCAUCGCCUCUUGAAGCUCCCAGGUGGCUGUGACUCCUUGCGUCUUGGCUUGCUUGGCAUUCUGCCUCUGAUGCCCUCUGGAUGCAUCUCUGGGGACCGCGGCUCACAGGCCCCACUGAGGCGGGAGGAACUGACUUCGCCAAACUCUAGCCAGGCUGUCACCUGGCCUAGUCUGCCUUGGUCUGGAUGUCUGCAGCGGCUUGGGCUUUGCUCGCCACUCUAAACACAAGUGGCCACAUAUCAUCUGAUCCCACUUACAUGAAAUGUCCAGAAAGGGCAAAUCCACAGACAGAAAGUAGAUUAGUGGUUGUCAGGGGCUGGGAGAGGAGGUAGGUGAAGGGGAGAAAUGAGAGUGACUGAUUAAUGAGUAUUGGGUUUCUUUGGGGGGCCAUGCAAAUGUUCUAAACUGGAUGGUGAUGGUUACAUAACUCUGUGAACAGACUAAAAAUGACGAAAACUCUACUAAGAACUCUUCUUUAGAGGGGUGAAUUGUAGGGUAUGUGAAUCAUAUCUCAGUAAAGUGGCUACGAAACAGGUAGAAGGAGAGGAGGGAAGUAGGAGAGGCUGGGAGCCCCAGGAGCAGGGCUCAGGAACCAGCUACCGAGGCUGGGAGGCAGGGCCAGAGCCAGAUGGAGGCAGGGCCAGAGCCAGAUGGAGGCAGGCAGCUUGGACAACCCUGAGGGCGCUUCCAGGUAAGCUGUGGAGUGUUUGGCAGAAGCAAGGGGUCAAGAGCAGGGAGCCAAGCUUCUGGUGAUGGCCUGGACCCUAGACACCCCCUCCCCUAACAAAACCCAGAAAGGAGUGACUGGGAGAGAAGGCAUAGUCAGGAACAUCACUCCCACGCCUGGCCUCCCCACCGCCAAGCCGACAGGCACAGCACAGCACACUAGCAACCGCCCAGAAUGACUCACACCUUCCUGUGUCAUUGUCCAAUAGGAACUGCCCAGGGUCUUGAAGCACUGAGGACUGGGAGAUCCCUGUGUCCCCAGGAACUGUACUCUGCAUUUUCAAACAGAACAUUUUCAUGAUAUGUUGAUGGCCACUCUUUUCCCUGACUGGUCAUCUGAGAAACUGAGCAGAGGCGAGGUUACUGCACCCCCGAAAGGUGACCAGAGAAGCACACCAUUGACAGCCCAGGGGAGCACUUUAGGGCCCGACAUAGAGUGUCACCCUCCGAAGCUGUCACAGAAUCAGAGACUAGGGCUCUGUCACCUCACACCUUGGGAACACUGCAGGGUGCUCUGCAGCAUCUCUCUCUCUCUCUUUUUUUUUUUGAGACACAGUC